AUUAAACGCUGGCGGCAUGCCUUACACAUGCAAGUCGAACGGCAGCACGGGGGCAACCCUGGUGGCGAGUGGCGGACGGGUGAGUAAAGCAUCGGAACGUAUCCUGGAGUGGGGGAUAACGUAGCGAAAGUUACGCUAAUACCGCAUAUUCUGUGAGCAGGAAAGCAGGGGAUCGCAAGACCUUGCGCUCUGGGAGCGGCCGAUGUCGGAUUAGCUAGUUGGUGGGGUAAAGGCCUACCAAGGCGACGAUCCGUAGCGGGUCUGAGAGGAUGAUCCGCCACACUGGGACUGAGACGCGGCCCAGACUCCUACGGGAGGCAGCAGUGGGGAAUUUUGGACAAUGGGCGCAAGCCUGAUCCAGCCAUGCCGCGUGAGUGAAGAAGGCCU
rnacentral:rRNA from 1 species